rnacentral:misc_RNA from 1 species
GAGCUUCUCAUGAGCUUCUUUAACUGUCUUCCCAUCUUUUUUCUUCCUCCAGUUAUGCCCAUCUUUUCUGAAGUAUCUCAGCACCUUGCGGUCAAAAAGGAAAAGUGAACCACUCGAUGGCAUAUGUUGAGGUUCCGGAGCAAUUCGGAAUUUCUUAUAAUUUCGAAGAAUUUCACAAAUUUCCGCAGGUCGUAGCCAUCUAUGCUUUGCUUCUACGAGAAUUUGUUGAAUAUCUAGCUGGUUACCAAGAGGGUAGCCCCUAGCCUCUGCCAUGAACUCCUCCUCCUCGUCUUCUUCCUCUUCACUGUAUCCGUCUCGGUGAGUGAGGGAUUUGAGAUAUUUUGCGACAGUUUUGGAAGGGCAGUGAGUCAGAGAGAGCAGCUCAACUAGAAUUUUAGACAAGGGGAAGAUAGCGGAUUUUGUCAAGAAGCGAGAUUUUGUCAAGAAACGAG